rnacentral:rRNA from 1 species
AGCGCGGGGUAGCAAUACUCUGGCGGCGACCGGCGGAAGGGUGCGUAACGCGUGAGCAACUUGCCCGCAUCGAGGGGGAUAAUCGUUGGAAACGACGUCUAAUACCCCGUAACAACGGUGACCGCAUGAUCACCGUUUGAAAGCUCCGGCGGAUGCGGAUGGGCUCGCGUGACAUUAGCUAGUCGGCGGGGUAACGGCCCACCGAGGCGACGAUGUCUAGGGGUUCUGAGAGGAAGGUCCCCCCACACUGGAACUGAGACACGGUCCAGACUCCUGCGGGAGGCAGCAGUGAGGAAUAUUGGUCAAUGGCCGGAAGGCUGAACCAGCCAUGCCGCGUGCAGGAUGACGGCCCUACGGGUUGUAAACUGCUUUUGUGGCGGAGCAAUAAGGAUUACGUGUAAUCCGAUGAGAGUACGUCACGAAUAAGCAUCGGCUAACUCCGUGCCAGCAGCCGC